UGCAGUCGACGAUGAUGCCAGCUUGCUGGGUGGAUUAGUGGCGACGGGUGAGUAACACGUGAGUAACCUGCCCCUGACUCUGGGAUAAGCGUUGGAAACGACGUCUAAUACUGGAUAUGACUACCGGCCGCAUGGUCUGGUGGUGGAAAGAUUUUUUGGUUGGGGAUGGACUCGCGGCCUAUCAGCUUGUUGGUGAGGUAAUGGCUCACCAAGGCGACGACGGGUAGCCGGCCUGAGAGGGUGACCGGCCACACUGGGACUGAGACACGGCCCAGACUCCUACGGGAGGCAGCAGUGGGGAAUAUUGCACAAUGGGCGAAAGCCUGAUGCAGCAACGCCGCGUGAGGGAUGACGGCCUUCGGGUUGUAAACCUCUUUUAGUAGGGAAGAAGCGACUGAGUUUACUCUGAGUGACGGUACCUGCA
rnacentral:rRNA from 1 species